rnacentral:lncRNA from 1 species
GGCAACUACUCCUGGGACCUGGCAGACGAACAGAACGUGAGCGCUGCCACCAGCACCCAGGCUGCGGGGGUACCGGAGCCCCAGCCCUGGCCCUGAGGGAGAGGGAAGUCAGGGCCGGGGCUGCCCCAAUCCUGUCUCCUGUGCGCAGGCCUACCUCAAGUGGAUGGCAGAGGGUGGCAAGGACCAGCAGCUGCCCGGCCUGGAUCUCACCCAUGAGCAGCUCUUCUUCAUCAACUAUGCCCAGGUGGCAGCCGCAGUCCUGGUCCCACCAUCCCCAUGCUUCCCCACUCAUCUCUGGAGGGCCCACUCUGGGGCACCUCCAGGGACCAGAGCCCAGCAUGGAAGGCCCCUUGGGGGAAAAGCAUGAGGGGCAGGGGGCGGGAGCUGGACAGGAUUUCAAUGCUGAUGGGAGGAGGGGAGCACCUGCUGACUCCCCUCACCCCACCCUAGAAGGGGCAGCCUGGGGAUAGUGGAGACCCUCC